UUUUCAUCUUGUCCUCUCCUGAGAAGGGGCGGGCGAUUUGUCUAGGUAGUUGGUAGCUGGUCAGUUCUAGUAGCUGGUCAGUUAGUGGCUAGCUAGAUUAAAGGUAGUGAUAUACCCUUAGAGUGGGGACGGUGUAAACCGAGCUAGAGACUUUCAAGUCUUGUCGGGGAACUACCUUUCUGCUUUACGCAA
rnacentral:misc_RNA from 1 species